GGGGAAAAAAAAAUCUAUUUUCAAUUAAAUAAAUAAAUAAAUAAAGUAGCACUAGCUGCUUUUCCAGAGGACCCAAAUUUGGCUAUCACUCCCAUCAGGCAGCUCAAACCGUCUGAAACUUGAGCUCCAGAAGAUCAACACUCUUUUUGGCAGCAUACACUCACAGAGAUACACACACACACACACACACACAUAAACAAAAAUAAAUCUUGACGGGUGUGGUGGAACAAGUUUUUAAUCCCAGCACUUGGAAGGUGGAGGAAAACGGAUAUGAGCUCCAGGCUAGCCAGGACUACACAGUGAAACCCUGUCACCACCCCCACCACCCCCAAAAAAGUUAAUAAAAGUAAAACCAGUUUUGUGUUUCCAAGGAGAUGUUAUAUAAGGGAACUUGCGUCCAAUCGUAUAUCAAAAGCUUAUAAAAGCUUGGGCUGUCUGAAUUUUAAUGAACAGAUGUCAAUUUUGAAUAAAUAAGGUUUAAAGUUCUAGUCUGAUCUACCCCGUGGAUGUGAAAAGCCAAAGCCAGCGGUGGCUCUCCCUGCAAAUGGCCGGGCCACUGUGUGCGCCUGCAGGUACCCAGGUGGGGCGGGUCCCCCUAAGCCGGGAGGAUCGGCGUGUUUUGUCUCCACAUAUACCUUGAAGCAUGCCUGAAGAAGCCAGAAGAGGGAGUUAGAUCCAUCCUCUGGAACUGGGAUUAUAGACGGUUGUGAGCCACUGUGUGGGGUUUGGUAAUCAAACCUGGGUCAUCUGGAAGAGCAGCCAGUGCUCUUCACUGCUAAGUCAUCUCUCCAGUCCCUUAUAUCCUCUUUUAUAAAACCCACAAUAUUGUCUGUAUAUGAAGCCAUUCAUUUAGGAUUGGUGGGUUUUUUGUUUUGUUUGUUUGUUUGUUUGUUUGGGAGGGGGGUUGUGGCAGGGUCUUGUGUACUACAAUCUGACCUCCAACUCUCCAUAUGUAGCCUUGAAUUCCUGACCCUCCAGCUUCCAUGUCUGAAAUGCUAGGAUUAUAGGCAGGCAUGUACUACCACACCCUUUUUAUGAAGUGGCGGGGAUGGAACCCAGGCACAGCAAUGAAUUUGAGGCCAGCCUGGGUUACAUAAGACCCUAUCUCAAGAAGGGGGAAGAGGAAUUGUUUCUAUAAACUUUCAUAAUGUUUUUUUCUGUCCACUAAAGAAGCUUAGGAGCUAAUUGGACGGGGACACACACACAUACACACACACACACACACACACACACACACACACACACACACACGUUAGAAGUGAGAAAGGGUAUCUUCUUUUGAAGAUGGAGAACUUUGGGAAAAUGCCUAUAAUAAUCUUGGAACUUCAUAAAGUCCUCUUAGACUGAUGGUGAUAUACUCUCACACACCACACAAAGGCACAAGCCACUGAACAAUCAUGGGUUGAGUCAGCAUUCCUUUUGUUCUUGAGGGAGUUGCUGAGGGAUUGAGCUGAAGAUGUGUGACUAAAGAGACAAGAAAAUCUAAGGCUCUAUAUAAGGAGAAGGGACACAUGCCUAUACUUGCAGCACUGGGAGGAGGGAACCUGAAGACCAGAAGUUCAAGGUUGUUAUACUAGUAGUGAGUUUCAUACCAGCGUGGCCUCAUUACAGAGAGACUUUGUUUAUAAAAGAGAGGGAAGGAGGGAAGAAAGGAAGGAAGACAGAGAAGAAUCAUCAAGAGUCCAAACUUCUUAGGAGGAGAAUCUAUCUAUAGAGGAGAGCUAUUAGUUUAAGGUGUUUGGUCUGUCAGAAAGUUGAGUGAUGUCUCUGUCAUUCUGUCCUGCUUUUGUCCUAGUGGAUUAUCUGGAGGAGUUUAAAUAGAUACAGAAUUCUGAAUCCAACUUUGCAAGAAAAGGGCACAAGGCCAUUUCUGGAUCUGCUGGAGCUGGAGGGUGAAGAGUGGACAGAUGACAUGUAGACCGCAGAAGAAACAUCACUGCAAGAGACUUCAGUUGAAGGUGAUAGCUUGAAGCUGGGUGGCAGGUCACCUGCCUGUAAUAAAAGCUCUUGGGAGAUGGAGGCAGGAAGACCAGGAGUUCAGCCAUCCUCAGCUAUAUGAGAGAGACAUGUCUAAAACACAGAGAGAGAGAGAGAGAGAGAGAGAGAGAGAGAGAGAGAGAGAGAGAGAGAGAGAGAGAGAGAGAAGGGGGUGGGGGGAGAAGGGAAGGGGAGAAGGGAAGGAGAGAGAGUAGGGAGGAAUCACAUACAACUCUUUUUCCUUCUGAAACAAUUGUUAAUGCCCCUUAAAGGACAGGUAUGGUCGGUCAUACAUACCUAUAAUCCCAGCACUGGGGAGGCUGAAGUGAGAGUUUCACUACAUAUUCGUGGGGGCCAGUAGAGGCUCCCUAGUAAGGCCUUACUCAAGGUCAGAAAGUCUGAGCUUGCUUUACCCAGCAGGGCUGCAUAAUAGGAUGAUUUGGCCAAAGGCGUGGUUACCAGGUGCUUUGAAGGUCUACACUUGUUGGUACUUUAUACCUCGACCUUGAGAGGGAGCAGUCUUUUGCUCCUUCCCUUGCUGAUGUAUAAAAAGCCCAUCAUGAUUAAACUUGGGGUGACUGGGUAUCGACCCAGGGCCCUCCUGAAGCUA